CAAUGAACGUUUGAAUACAGAGGUGCCUGAAAAAAUUGAUGCAACUACCAAUGAUUGUGCCACCGAUUUGGACAUCGAGACCUUAAUAAUCCAUCGGCCAACUAUAAUUGUGAUGAGUCUUCUCGUGUAUAUAAUCAAGAAUCCUCUGUAAAGCAUAAUGAAGACUGUUUAAUUCCCUUUGCCGAUAUAAACAAAGACCCAAAGUUUUGGCCUUUAAACUUGUAUGAAAAUGAAGAAAUGCGUCUUAAAUAUCUGCAGAAAGGGUUCUCGUAUUUUCAAAACAAGGAUUCUACAUUUGUAACGUCAAAGCGCGAGUAAAGAACUCAAAUUAGGUACUUUACCCCUAAACUUAUUUCGAAAAAAUUACCAAAUGGUGAAAAGGCAGGAAGAAAAUGGCUUAUGUUUUUCGAGUCAAGUGGAGCCGUUUUCUGUUUCGUUUGUAAAUUGUUUUCAAAAAACUUGAAGAAUCCUUUUGUAAAAGAUGGAUUUUCUAAUUGGAAGAAAGACAAACAAAUAGUAUCCGCACACCAAAAUAGCAAAAACCAUUUAGAUUGUAUGGUGAA